AUGCACAACUACUAUCUCUCACUGUAUCUUCAUCUUAAAAUCUCUAUCACUUUCCUCUACAGAACCUUCAUCACCAUAAUCAUUCUUGAUUGUAAAUUCACUCUUCAACAACCUCUUGUUGCGCCUCAAUCAUCAUCGCCCUUGCGACUUCGCAGUGUAACGUCAAUAUUCCAUCUUCUUUAA